GACGAACGCUGGCGGCGUGCUUAACACAUGCAAGUCGAACGGAAAGGCCCUGCUUUUGUGGGUUGCUCGAGUGGCGAACGGGUGAGUAACACGUGAGUAACCUGCCCUUGACUUUGGGAUAACUUCAGGAAACUGGGGCUAAUACAGGAUAGGAGCUCCUGCUGCAUGGUGGGGGUUGGAAAGUUUCGGCGGUUGGGGAUGGAAUCGCGGGUUAUCCGCUUGUUGGUGGGGUAGUGGCUUACCAAGGCUUUGACGGGUAGCCGGCCUGAGAGGGUGACCGGCGACAUGGGGACUGAGAGACGGCCCAGACGCCUACGGGAGGCAACAGUGGGGAAUAUUGCACAAUGGGCGGAAGCCUGAUGCAGCAACGCCGCGUGCGGGAUGACGGCCUUCGGGUUGUAAACCGCUUUCGCCUGUGACGAAGCGUGAGUGACGGUAAUGGGUAAAGAAGCACCGGCUAACUACGUG
rnacentral:rRNA from 1 species